UGAAUCAUCCUAUUUUGUGCUCAUCGUCAUCACAACGAAAAUACACGCUGUGACGUCAUAUACCUGUACAGCCAGGGAACAAUUCGUGUCCAAGAACAGAAAAAAUUAAAUUGUGUUGUUGGAAAUUAAGAUUUUAUCUAUGAUAUACGUAGGUUCCUCAUUAUUGUGCUACUUUUUAUAAUAGUUGCUUUCAACAAGCUACACGCAUGUGCAGUGUUUUAUUCUCUCAACAAACAUGUACACAUAUAUAUCACACAUUGUCGAUAUGUACAGCUAUCCAACAUUGAUUAAAAUGUAUAAUAUAAUCACAUUAAUAUCUAAUAUUGGUAUCAAAUUUUAAGUAAUUAUAGUAAAGUUUGUUAUUGAUGUUAAUUUUUUUUGAAAAACAGAGACGACUAAGCAAAAGAUGUUUCAGAUUCACCAGUAUGUACUAUUCUCAUUUCAGCCUUGACUUUCAGGGUGGAGAAGGUUCAUUUUAUGUCUUAGCUUAUUCUCUCACCAGAGGUCGCGCCACAUUAAGCAAACUCGUCUAGCAUCACCUCUGGUGAGAGAAUGGUUUUUAGCUGUGCAUCUGCCUUUGCAAAUUACUUCGAUAUAAUGUACAUAAUAUUUUCGUCUACAAUGUAAAAACUUUUAUAUGAUUUGAUUUUUAAUUAUUUUUAUUUACAUUAUGAUAACUUUCUUUUUAAACUGCAUGAGCUCGGAACAAAUUCUGGUCUACAAGUAACAAGGCUUAUUUUGUUGGUUAUUUUUCUUUGCUUUGCCGUUCUCUUUGUAGAUGAUCAUGAUGUAUAAUAAUUUGAUCAUGUUUUGUGUAUAUAUGUGCACAGUUCCCAUUUGUUGACAGUUUUGUUAUUUUUGCGUAUUAUUCAUUAUUGUUGAUUGUUGAAUUGUGUUCUAUCUCUCCGUGUUAAGUUGAUCGUGAAGAAUGACAAAGUAUUAAUUUUAACUGCAAAUAACAAUGCAAGUUUUGUUGACUACAUUUCAUUGUAAUUUUUGUGUAAUAAAGAUUCACCUC
rnacentral:misc_RNA from 1 species